CUCAACCCAAGUGUGUACCGCAGCUCAACCCAGCCGCUGGAUGCUGAUGACUGGCUCCGUGACAUCACCUAUGAGAUGGAGUCUGCUGAUGUAGCCCCUGCCAGCUAUGUCACUUUUGCUUCCUUCUUCCUGAAGGGACCCGCAGCUCAAUGGUGGGACAGCCACAGGCGUACUCUGCCAGUUGGGACAAUCAUCUCCUGGCCAGACUUUCAGGCUGCCUUCCGUGCCCGCUUCAUUCCUCAGGGAAUCAUGGACAAGAAGAAGCGUGAGUUUCGAAACCUCACCCAAGGCAACAAGACUGUUGAAGCUUAUCAGCGAGAGUUUCUGGAUUUAUCCCGCUAUGCUGAAGAAGACAUUGCAACUGAUGCUCGCAGACAGGAGAAGUUCCGUGAAGGCCUUCAAGAUGACAUCAAGCUCGCACUUCUAGUGCAUGACUUUGCCGAUUUCGCCGCCUUGGUGAACAAGGCCAUCAAUGUUGAGACUGGUCUUCAAGAACACCAUAGCUCUCAAAGGCGCAACCGUGACACGGGCUCAUCUUCGGGCCCGCCCUCGCAGAAGCGUAAGAUAUGGAUCCCGAACAGCAUGUACCGUCCAAAUGCACCAGCCCUAAGGCAGUCUUACGCUGCACCUCGUCUGCCUACUGCUCCAACUAGGCUGCCAAGGCUUCCAGCUCCGCCACCCCAAGCUCCUGUUCCCACUCCCAAUAAUGGCCUGUGCUACAAGUGUGGUCAACCAGGUCACCUUGCCAGGAACUGCUAUCAGAAUCAAAAACAGAAUCAACUGGCCCUUCCAGCUACUGGCCGUGGAAACAACCAGGCCCACAACAACAUUGCCAAGUCUUAUGGCCGUGUUCAUGCCAACCACAUUGAUCUGAAUGAAGCUCAAGACCAGCCUGCUACUGUGAUGGGUACACUCCUCGUAAAUUCAGUACCAGCAUCCGUUUUAUUUGAUACAGGUGCAUCGCAUUCAUUCAUGUCAGAAGAAUUUGCAUACAAGCACGAUGUUAAAUUUGAGCAGAUGAACACUUCGGUAGUGGUAAAAAACCCCGCGGGACAAUGUCAGACCUCCAUGGUUGGCAUUGACGUCCCUGUGGAA
rnacentral:rRNA from 1 species